GUAACUAUUUGGCCCAACAUAUCUCUGGCAUAUGCCUUCCUUUCCAUUCUUCAGGAUGGAUCAGACUUCCAGAGCUGUCCUUGUAUCAGUUAAAACACAAGUUUAACUGCUUUAACUGAAAGACUGAAUAAUAAUGAUUUAAACAACAUAGUUAUUUUUCUUUCAUGUAGAUAUCUCUGUGACUAGAUGUCCAGACAUCUCUGUGACUGCUCUAGUAUUGGCAGGUGGCUCCAUCGUCACUGGAACCCAGACACCUUUUAUCAAGCUGCAGCCCCUGUCUGGUGGCUCUGGAUGACUGCCCCAGCUAUGCCUUCUCAGGGAAUGCAGGGCCACUCCUUUUUAGGACAGAGAAGGGAGCGCUGUCUUGUGGCAUCUCCUAUUGUCACUCUUGGCCUACGGAAGACAGCUGAUGCUGAGUUUGAAUGAUUCACUCUCCUCAAAUGCAUUUCUUUACUGCCUCAGUGAAGGAUGUGUCCUCUGAGCCCACCCAGAAAAACUGGUGAGUUCUCUGUAAGAAUGUGCCUAUAAGAUUGCUCCCACCCUGUUGAGCAUCUGAACUCUACGGCUAUGCUCUUCUAAUAUAGUUCUAAAAUUUAUACCUUGUUUAUAAAAGCCAUUAUAACAUCCAAGCUUUGGGGUGGGGUUGGAGGUGGGUAGAAAUCCCAGCAGUGUAAAACCAGUGACAGGUGUCACCUCUGGGAUAUUAAAUCCUUAACCACAGGAGAGUGCCAUCCCGUUAAACGUUCCCUUGUCCAGACUCAUUUAGACGACCCCCAGUCUAACACCAGGAGCUACCUCCCAGUUCCUGCUGGUGUAUCAGCAAGUACGUUCCUCCUGAAGCAGAUACAUAGUCCUCCUCAGGCUGCUGAGACCCGACCCUACUUAUUUGCCUUGAGAAGAUUUUGACGAGCGUGCACUACACUGUGUCUACCUCAGGUUUUAGUGGUUUCUUCAGGCAAUGGGCAGUGACUUUCCACUUGAAGGAAGUAGAGGCCUGCUUUUGUCAUCCUGAACGC
rnacentral:lncRNA from 13 species